rnacentral:rRNA from 1 species
UACGGGAGGCAGCAGUGGGGAAUAUUGCACAAUGGGCGCAAGCCUGAUGCAGCCAUGCCGCGUGUAUGAAAAAGGCCUUCGGGUUGUAAAGUACUUUCAGUCGUGAGGAAGGUGUUAAGGUUAAUAACCUUAGCAAUUGACGUUAGCGACAGAAGAAGCACCGGCUAACUCCGUGCCAGCAGCCGCGGUAAUACGGAGGGUGCGAGCGUUAAUCGGAAUUACUGGGCGUAAAGGGCACGCAGGCGGUUAAUUAAGUUGGAUGUGAAAUCCCCGGGCUUAACCUGGGAAUGGCAUUCAAGACUGGUUAGCUAGAGUCUUGUAGAGGGGGUUAGAAGUUCCAUGUGUAGCGGUGAAAUGCGUAGAGAUGUGGAGGAAUACCGGUGGCGAAGGCGGCCCCUGGACAAAGGCUGACGCUCAUGUGCGAAAGCGU